GACGAACCGAGCGAACGUUGUUCGGAAUCACUGGACUUAAAGGGCGCGUAGGCGGGUGCUCAAGUCUGUGGUGAAAUCCUCCAGCUUAACUGGAGAACUGCCGUGGAUACCGGGUAUCUCGAGGAAGAUAGGGGUAUGCGGAACGAUUGGUGGAGCGGUGAAAUGCGUUGAUAUCAAUCGGAACUCCGGUGGCGAAGGCGGCAUACUGGAUCUUAUCUGACGCUGAGGCGCGAAAGCCAGGGGAGCAAACGGG
rnacentral:rRNA from 1 species